UACGUAGGGUGCGAGCGUUGUCCGGAAUUAUUGGGCGUAAAGAGCUUGUAGGCGGUUUGUCGCGUCUGCCGUGAAAAUUCGAGGCUCAACCUCGAACUUGCGGUGGAUACGGGCAGACUAGAGGUAGGUAGGGGAGAAUGGAAUUCCCGGUGUAGCGGUGAAAUGCGCAGAUAUCGGGAGGAACACCGGUGGCGAAGGCGGUUCUCUGGGCCUUACCUGACGCUGAGGAGCGAAAGCGUGGGGAGCGAACAGG
rnacentral:rRNA from 1 species